CACCUCUCAGGGUCGCACCUGGAGAAUUUCCAGUACUCUACCAGUCUUGGUUACGGGAGGGAGAGUCAAGCAGAGGUAUAUCCAUUCCAUUCCUAGCUUGGGCAGGGGCUAGAGAGUGGAAAGCAAUCCGCGACGUAA
rnacentral:snoRNA from 1 species